UGCAGUCGAACGGUAACAGAAAGCAGCUUGCUGCUUUGCUGACGAGUGGCGGACGGGUGAGUAAUGUCUGGGAAACUGCCUGAUGGAGGGGGAUAACUACUGGAAACGGUAGCUAAUACCGCAUAACGUCGCAAGACCAAAGAGGGGGACCUUCGGGCCUCUUGCCAUCGGAUGUGCCCAGAUGGGAUUAGCUUGUUGGUGGGGUAACGGCUCACCAAGGCGACGAUCCCUAGCUGGUCUGAGAGGAUGACCAGCCACACUGGAACUGAGACACGGUCCAGACUCCUACGGGAGGCAGCAGUGGGGAAUAUUGCACAAUGGGCGCAAGCCUGAUGCAGCCAUGCCGCGUGUAUGAAGAAGGCCUUCGGGUUGUAAAGUACUUUCAGCGGGGAGGAAGGGAGUAAAGUUAAUACCUUUGCUCAUUGACGUUACCCGCAGAAGAAGCACCGGCUAACUCCGUGCCAGCAGCCGCGGUAAUACGGAGGGUGCAAGCGUUAAUCGGAAUUACUGGGCGUAAAGCGCACGCAGGCGGUUUGUUAAGUCAGAUGUGAAAUCCCCGGGCUCAACCUGGGAACUGCAUCUGAUACUGGCAAGCUUGAGUCUCGUAGAGGGGGGUAGAAUUCCAGGUGUAGCGGUGAAAUGCGUAGAGAUCUGGAGGAAUACCGGUGGCGAAGGCGGCCCCCUGAGACUAAGACUGACGCUGCAGAUGCGAAAGCGUGCAGAGCAAAUUAGGAUUAGAUGACCCUGC
rnacentral:rRNA from 1 species